AUGAACAGCAAAGGCAAGGACCGAGGGUGGCAGAGGUCGUCGGGGGGAGUACUGCUGGCCCAGAGCGAGCGGAUUCGGAGCCCAGGGUCACCAAACGCAAGGUUUGGGGUGGGCUGCGCCAUGCUCCCUGGCCGGCUGCAGUCCAGGGCGCUGCGCCUGACGCCUUCGUCAAACCGAAAUUACGGCAGCUUGCUGCCUCCAGGCCCUUUCCUCCGUAAACUCUGUGGCGCAGUUUGGAGCUGCGGGCUCGGGUGGUGGGGGGGGCCUUGACAUGAUGGGCAUCCGUAGGAGCAAAUAGAGCGCUAGCGCAGGCAUUCGCGUAGGCCAAUGGAGAGCCGGCGGAGGCGGGGCGCCGCGCAACGGAACCCCCGGCGGGGCCGAACUUAACUACUGAAUUGCUGGAGUUGGUUCGUGGGCCGGGGCCUGUGAGGUCUCUUCUCCUUCCCUUCGCACCCCCUCGCCCUUCGCUGACGGGAUCAGAACUUCUCCCCUUUUCUGUGGUUGUACCAGUGUGUCUGUCGGAACAUGAUUCCCAUAACGCAGGAAUAGGUUGAGGGGGUAAAAAAGGAAUAGAAAAAAAAAAAAAAAAAGCCGAGCGAGGUUGCUCACGCCUGUAAUCCCAGCAGUUUGGGAGGCCGAGGCGGGCGGAUCACCUGAGGUCAAGAGUUCGAGACCAGCCUGGCCAACGUGGUGAAACCCCGUCUCUAUUAAAAAAUGCAAAAAUUAGCUGGGCGUGGUGGCGGGCGCCUGUAAUCCCAGCUACUCGGGAGGCUGGGGUAGGAGAAUUGCUUGAACCCAGGAGACGGAGGUUGCAGUGAGCCGAGAUCGCGCCACUGCACUCCAGCCUGGGCAAAAGAGCGAGACUCCGUCUCGGAACAAACAAAAAACCAAACCUGAUCCCCCGCUUUUCCAGUGAGGAUAUUCCUCCUCACCCCUGCACCCUUUUCCCAGUCUCACGGUUCACUUCCAUCAUUCACACCCUUUGUUUGGAAGUCGACCUUGAAUAGUAAUCUGUAAGGAAAAUCAGAACUGCUGUUACCCACGAAGUCUGGGCUGGUUGUAGACAGGCUGUGGAGACUACCUAGAGCAGAGGCACCCUUGAUAAGCCAGAACAGCAGCAGGCCAGAACCCCAGACCUGUCCUGCAUUCCGGAGGGAACUUGGGCCCAGGUAGACUUAACCCCUUACUUCGGUAUGUUAGUAGGAGCAGUGAGCAGUGCCUUUCUUUUCUCGUCAGAAUCCAGCACCUUCCAUUUUAAGGGUGCAAAGACAAUGCAUAUUUUCUUAGUUCCAGGAAUCAGGCCCUCUGGGGCAGACUAUUUGCAAAUCCCCUUCUGCUUGCUCCCACUAAGUUAGCUACCCGAUAUGACCUGCCUCAUUUUGGUAGCUCUGUGUAGUAGGCAACCUUCAUUUUUUUCUUGUCUUUCAGGUCAAUAUCCAACACAGCCAACCUACCCUGUGCAGCCUCCUGGGAAUCCAGUAUACCCUCAGACCUUGCAUCUUCCUCAGGCUCCACCCUAUACCGAUGCUCCACCUGCCUACUCAGAGGUGCUUCCAGUUUGCCAGAUUUGAACUAGCUGGGAAUACUCUUAGGGUGGUCCUUUAGUCCUUAGCUAAAUCUGACUUCACAUAUUUACUCUUCACAAAUGUUAACAUGAAUAAUCUAAAACACUAUAUAAUUUGGCAAUUUUUGUCGGAGUUGAAAGUGCAUUAUUUGAUGAUUUUGUGUUAUUUGGCACAGGCUGAGGUGCAGAAGAUGAAUUUGCGUCCUGUGAGCCCAACAUUAGCUAUAGCAGAAAGUGAUCCAGGAGAAUAUUGAAGGCCAGUGGAAAGGCAACUUGUAUAAUCUUACAAAAAGUAUAACCUGCACAAGGAGAAUUAAGAAUUAGCUCAUUAAAGAGAUCUCAAAUAGGAAUGUCAUAAAGUAACAUUUUGCCUUCUCUUCUGCCUCUUCUAGCUCUAUCGUCCGAGCUUUGUGCACCCAGGGGCUGCCACAGUCCCCACCAUGUCAGCCGCAUUUCCUGGAGCCUCUCUGUAUCUUCCCAUGGCCCAGUCUGUGGCUGUUGGGCCUUUAGGUUCCACAAUCCCCAUGGCUUAUUAUCCAGUCGGUCCCAUCUAUCCACCUGGCUCCACAGUGCUGGUGGAAGGAGGGUAUGAUGCAGGUGCCAGAUUUGGAGCUGGGGCUACUGCUGGCAACAUUCCUCCUCCACCUCCUGGAUGCCCUCCCAAUGCUGCUCAGCUUGCAGUCAUGCAGGGAGCCAACGUCCUCGUAACUCAGCGGAAGGGGAACUUCUUCAUGGGUGGUUCAGAUGGUGGCUACACCAUCUGGUGAGGAACCAAGGCCACCUUUGUGCCGGGAAAGACAUCACAUACCUUCAGCACUUCUCACAAUGUAACUGCUUUAGUCAUAUUAACCUGAAGUUGCAGUUUAGACACAUGUUGUUGGGGUGUCUUUCUGGUGCCCAAACUUUCAGGCACUUUUCAAAUUUAAUAAGGAACCAUGUAAUGGUAGCAGUACCUCCCUAAAGCAUUUUGAGGUAGGGGAGGUAUCCAUUCAUAAAAUGAAUGUGGGUGAAGCCGCCCUAAGGAUUUUCCUUUAAUUUCUCUGGAGUAAUACUGUACCAUACUGGUCUUUGCUUUUAGUAAUAAAACAUCAAAUUAGGUUUGGAGGGAACUUUGAUCUUCCUAAGAAUUAAAGUUGCCAAAUUAUUCUGAUUGGUCUUUAAUCUCCUUUAAGUCUUUGAUUUAUAUUACUUGUUAUAAAUGGAACGCAUUAGUUGUCUGCCUUUUCCUUUCCAUCCCUUGCCCCACCCAUCCCAUCUCCAACCCUAGUCUUCCAUUUCCUCCCGCCAGUCUCCAUUGAAUCAAUGGUGCAGGACAGAAAGCCAGUCAGACUAAUUUCCUUCUUUCCUCGCACUUCUCCCCACUCGUCAUCUUUUAACUAGUGUUUUCACAAGGAUCCUCUGAAACCCUCUCUGUGCCCCAAGUACAGAUCCCAUUACUUCUGCUUUCGUAUCUCCUCAGGCAAAAGUGGAGGGUGCCUUAUGGGCCCUCCUCAUAGGUUGUCUCUGCAUACACAAACCUAACCCAAAUUUGCUUUGGUGCCAGAAAAACUGAGCUAUGUUUGAACAAAGAUGUCGUGCAAACUGUACUGUGAACAACAGUUGGUUUAAAAUAUGAGGGGCAAGGAGGAGGAUGCAUUUCAAAAGCUUGAUUGAUGUGUUUAGAGCUAAAUUAAGAGGAGUUUUCAGAUCAAAAAUUGGUUACCAUUUUUUGUCAGAGUGUCUGAUGCGGCCACUCAUUCGGCUCCCCAGAAUUCCUAGACUGGGUUAAUAGGGUCAUAUUGUGAAUGUCUCACUACAAAAUGACUUGAGUCCAGUGAAAUCUCAUUAGGGUUUAAGAAUAUUUCAGGGAUCCUUAAUGUUUUGAUUUUUGUUUUCUGAAAUUGGAUUUUAUUUUAUUUUAUCUUAUAAUUUCAGUUCAUCUAAAUUGUGUGUUCUGUACAUGUGAUGUUUGACUGUACCAUUGACUGUUAUGGAAGUUCAGCGUUGUAUGUCUCUCUCUACACUGUGGUGCACUUAACUUGUGGAAUUUUUAUACUAAAAAUGUAGAAUAAAGACUAUUUUGAAGAUUUGAAUAAAGUGAUGAAGUUGCAUUAC
rnacentral:sRNA from 1 species